UGAUGUUGUGCAGUUUGUUGAUAUUGUCAAAUACACGGAUGAAGAGUAUGAGAAGUCACGCUCGAUAUUUAUCUUCAUAGUUGUGGAACUUGGUAGUGGUUAUUUCAGUGGACAGUAGAGUUAAACAAUUUGUUAUGACCGUGAUGGUUAGUUAUUAUUCUAGAUGUAGCUCAGUUUGUACUUGAUAUGAGAAUAUAAUACACCACCCCAGUAUAUAAAUACAUAUGAGUUUGGAUGAGUUGAUGGAUAUUAUUUGCUUCA